CGCCAUUUUGUCCCGGCAGCAGUGGCCGCAGCUCUACCGCAUUUUAUGUUUGUAGAGUGAAGGGAGCGGAGUGCUUAUCCAGUAGAUGUAUUUUAGAGCGGCACCCAUCCACUGUUCGCCCCAGGACAGCAUCUAGUGAAGGUCGGAGGGAUCGCAGAGCUGUCAAGAAGUUCUGCUGAAAAUAACAGGACAUCUCAGUGACAUAUAUCCCAAGGUAUUACAGAGAAAAAGAUUAAUUUUGUGGGUGAAUGAAGAAGGUGUUCAAAUCUUGAAAAGGCUUGGAUAUUCUGUACUGAAAAUUCUGUUUCUGGAGGUGUGCUGGGGUUUGAAGUCGGGUCCUCACACCAGUAAUCUACAAAUUGAACCAUGACCCCAGCCUUUUUUGCUUUAUCUUUCAGUUUUACUGCCUUUUCCAAAAUGUCACACAAUUGGAAACAGUAUGUAUGGAUCUUAGGACCUAAGUUUCCAUUUCACGUAAGUAAAUAAUGGAGGAGUAGGAGCGCUGUGUUACAUGCUAAGUGUUAAACGUCGUAAGAAACUGCCAAAUUGUUUCUAAAGCAACUGUACCAUUUUACUUUGCACCAGCAAUGAACAUUUGUUAGUUUGCAUCUUCACUAAUGCUUGCCCUUUGAUCAGUCCUUUUAAUCGUACACUUUCUAAAACUAAGUGGUAUCUCAUAAAGGUUUGAUUUGUAUUUCCUAAGAAAUAGUGAUAAGCAUCUUUCCACCUAUUUACUUAGUUAAGUGUGUUUGAAUCUUUUGGCCAUUUUUAAAAACUGAGCUGCUUUUUAUUACUGAAUUUCAAAAGUUCUAUGUAUUUUCUGGACACAAGUCCUUUGUUAUAGAUGAUUCGCACAUAUUCUCCCUUAAGAGUUUUUCCUGUGUUGCCAUUCUCUUAAGUGUUAAGAGAGCAGGUUUUAAUUUUGGUGAAAUUGUCUUUGUGGUUUAUGCUUUUAUAAGUUUUAUAGCUUUAUUUUUUUGUGUAUGAUAAGUAUAGUUUGAGGUUUUGCUUAUUUUUUUAUUCCCUGCAUAUGGAUGUCCAAAUAUUCCACCUCCAUUUAAGAAAUCACUGUCCUUUCUUCAUUGAUGUACCUUUCACCUUUGUCAAUCAUUGAACUGUAUUUGUGAGUCUAUUUUUGUACUCCAUUUUCUGCCAUUAAUAAUUUACAACAUUAACUUUAUACUAAGUCUUGAGAUCAGGUAGUGUCUGCAUGUUCUUUUUCAUGUUGGCUUUUCUCAUUCUUUUUUCCCAUGUAAAUUUUAUAAACAGCUUAGUGAUUUCUACCCUCUUACCACAGAAGCGUUUUGGGAAUUUGUAUUUAUAUUGAAUCUUGAAAUCAUUUUGAGAAUUAGCAUCUUGACAAUACUGAGUUUUAGUUUCUUAUCAUUUUAUAAUCAACCUAAAAUCUUGCAUAAUUUUAUAACUAGCUUUCCCUUUUUGCUACCAUUUUAAAUGGUAUGUAAUUCCCAUGGUGUAGAUGAAGAAACUAAGUAUCUGAGUUUUACACACUUAUAAAAUGACAAAACAUAUUGAAACCUCUAUCAGUUUAUAAACUAAUGUACUGAUUUAAAUUAUAGUGCUAGUUGUCUUAAAUUGUGCUUACAGUUGAGUAAAGAGGAAGCCCUACCUUGUAUUUUUCUGAGUUUGUUUUCUGAAUUAAAAAACCACCCUUGUCUUUAUUUAGAUUUCUCCAAUCAAUACAUUUCUGAACUAGUGUUUUUUUAAAUCGUAUACCUCAUCCUGCAGUUAAUUAGCAUACUUUCUCUAAGAUAUGUGUAGCUUUGAUAUCCAAAUUCCAGAUAAGAUACAAAGACAUGACUUUUAACUUUGUGCGGUUUUUGUUUUUGUUGAGAACAGAGUCUGGAACUUGCUAUAUAGCCUAAGCUGGCCUCAAAUUCCAGAUGCUCCUGCCAGAGCCUCCCAAGUGCUGAGAUUGCAGGUAUCAUGGAUGACAGCAAUAAAGCAAAUGGAUAGUCUUAUCAGAUAAGUGCUUUUAUUGUCUAAAUACAUUUUAUUAUGUGGAAUCUUUAAACCAAACUUUAUUCUGUGAAACAUUUUCUUUCAGGUACCAGUCUCAGGAUGAUUUCUGAUAAGGUACUCAGUCAUAAAAUAAAUGUUAUAUUCAUGUCAUGUACUAGUUUUAUUUUUUUUUUCCCCUGAAGCUAGUUAUUCCUUAAUGGUAGUUACAGAAUGCCUGUACAUUUGAACCUAGAUUAUGUCUGUGGAUAGUUUGCAUCCUUUUUACAUAUUAGCUGCAGAGUUAAGUAGAUGUGCUUUUACAGUUUUAGAUUUAACUGAUAUUAUGGCACUGAAUGUAGUUUACAGUUGAUCUUGCUAAAAUUGUUUCAUUAGAACCAGCAUCUUCUCUUAAUUUUAAGGAGGGUUAUUAACAAUCCUGAUGUGAGUUUAAGAACAGCCAAGUGAGAGAAGAUUUAUGUGCCAUUCAUAUUUUGGAGCUUUGGGAAGGUAUAGGACUGGCCAUAGAUUGGCUUGGGGAUAGUUAACUUUUAAAUUGUAUAGGUCCAACUUAGGUAUUUUUCUAAGUCUACACUUCUGUCAGUCUCUGCUAAAUAUAUGAGUUAUACAGUAUAACAUGUAAUUUUACACUGUGGAAGACAUGAUAAAUAAAGUGCUGGUUUUGAGUCGUUAGCUAUUCAAGUGUAAUGAUUUGCUACUUAGAUUACCCAAGUGCUCAAAGUCCUGUACCUAAACUCAGUGACUAGAACACCCUUCUUAGGAGAGCACAACAGCUGAAUGUAGUGGUACUGGCAUGAGCCCAGUAUACUUGGCCUGAGUUCAGAUUUUCUGUUCCUGCUGUGAGUACUUCUGUUGAGAUUAUGAUGUGUUCUUUCAGGCCACAAUACUGAUUAUUUCACUUAGUAACAGUGUGGUGCUGAGUGUGGAACCUAGGGCCUUUCACAUGCUAGACAAGCAGUAUUCUUAGUUUUGGCAUCUGCUGAGUGGUUUUUGUUCAGGUUUCAGAUCAAGAAAUUUUUGAGUGACAGAAUAGACUUUGAUCCUUGAAUCUACUCCUCACCACAAUAAAGGAAAAGAACAGAAAUUUUAAAGGCUUCCAAAUUGAGACAUCUUUCUUCUCUAUCACUAAACUGUGGUUAAUGAUCAAAUCAUUUUACUAAAUACAAGUGACAAGUCUCAAUUGUACUUUUGUAUACAACGCAACAGAAUAUGACCACUAAAUUCCAGAUGAAAGAUGGAAUGGGGUUUUGACUUGAAUUCAGCGAAUUCCAAAACUAGUUAUUUAGUUCCUGAACUAAGGAGGGGUAUUUUUUUGUUUCUUUUGAUUUGUGGUCUAACGAUAUUGUCCAUGCUGGCUUUGAACUCCUGGAUUCAAGCAAUCCUAUCUCA